AGUGGAAGCGUCUGGAAAGGCGCGCGAUACAGGGUGACAGCCCCGUACACAAAAGCGCAUGUGCUGUGAGCUCGAUGAGUAGGGCGGGACACGUGGUAUCCUGUCUGAAUAUGGGGGGACCAUCCUCCAAGGCUAAAUACUCCUGACUGACCGAUAGUGAACCAGUACCGUGAGGGAAAGGCGAAAAGAACCCCGGCGAGGGGAGUGAAAAAGAACCUGAAACCGUGUACGUACAAGCAGUGGGAGCACCCUUUGGGGUGUGACUGCGUACCUUUUGUAUAAUGGGUCAGCGACUUAUAUUCUGUAGCAAGGUUAACCGUAUAGGGGAGCCGUAGGGAAACCGAGUCUUAACCGGGCGUUAAGUUGCAGGGUAUAGACCCGAAACCCGGUGAUCUAGCCAUGGGCAGGUUGAAGGUUGGGUAACACUAACUGGAGGACCGAACCGACUAAUGUUGAAAAAUUAGCGGAUGACCUGUGGCUGGGGGUGAAAGGCCAAUCAAACCGGGAGAUAGCUGGUUCUCCCCGAAAGCUAUUUAGGUAGCGCCUCGUGAAUUCAUCUCCGGGGGUAGAGCACUGUUUCGG
rnacentral:rRNA from 1 species